rnacentral:rRNA from 1 species
AGUGAACGCUGGCGGUAGGCCUAACACAUGCAAGUCGAACGGCAGCACAGUAAGAGCUUGCUCUUACGGGUGGCGAGUGGCGGACGGGUGAGGAAUACAUCGGAAUCUACUUUUUCGUGGGGGAUAACGUAGGGAAACUUACGCUAAUACCGCAUACGACCUACGGGUGAAAGCAGGGGAUCUUCGGACCUUGCGCGAUUGAAUGAGCCGAUGUCGGACUAGCUAGUUGGCGGGGUAAAGGCCCACCAAGGCGACGAUCCGUAGCUGGUCUGAGAGGAUGAUCAGCCACACUGGAACUGAGACACGGUCCAGACUCCUACGGGAGGCAGCAGUGGGGAAUAUUGGACAAUGGGCGCAAGCCUGAUCCAGCCAUACCGCGUGGGUGAAGAAGGCCUUCGGGUUGUAAAGCCCUUUUGUUGGGAAAGAAGAGCAGCAGGUUAAUACCCCGCUGUUCUGACGGUACCCAAAGAAUAAGCACCGGCUAACUUCGUG